GCGCUUACUGCAGCAGCACAUAUACAAAGAUUGGAACAAUACAGGAAAGAAUAUCAUGGCCCGUGUGCAAGGAUGCAAUGCAAAUUCAAUGUGUUCCAUAUUUUA